rnacentral:lncRNA from 1 species
UGUCGACCUACACUUCCCUUCCACAAAAAGCUGCAACAACCAAAGCCCCCUGCCCUGCUUCCCCUUCCCCACGAAAGCCCCCUGUCCUGCUUCCUUGGUAUUCGCUGCAACAACCAACAACCGACGCCCUCUGCCCUGCUUCCCUUGCAUGAUUCUGACUCCUAUGCUUAGAAAUGGAGAAACAAAGGAUUUGAUUGGAACCUUUGAGAGGCAUAAAGGUGUCGUUUGGAGUUGCUGUCAUUAG